GCUGUUGUUUUGGAGAGCCACUGUGGGAAAGUCAUUAAAGUGCAAAGCAUCUCUCUUUUAUUUAUUUCUAAAGGACUCCUGGAAGAGACGUCCACGAAGGCGGCGGAUGGUAAUGAGUGCUGACACUGACCGGCCACCCCCGCAGUGCCGUGUGUGCCGAUAGCCGCUGCCAUGGCAAACCGAGUCCUCUGCUGUGAAACGGGCCUGUGGGACCAGCAGGGAGGGCUUCCUCUCUUCCACCGGUGGCCGGUGUCCACCAGCAGACCACUAAAUCAGGCAUUUUUCGUUCAUCUUUGGUGGCCUUUGUAGCGAGUCACAACUAAAGCUCAGCACGUCAGCUGCGACCGGGAACCCCGUCCCUGGAGGCGCUGCGUCACACAUAAGGGAGGACCACACCGGACAGGGGACCACUGGACUGUGUCCGUGUACGUUUCUGCAGGGAUGGGACAGUGAAGCCGUUUGCAUGCACGUGCUAUACCCAGAAAAAUAAAAAUAAAAUAAAAUAAACGUG